GGUCCCGCCUGCCCAGUGACUCUUUAAACGGCCGCGGUAUCCUAACCGUGCAAAGGUAGCAUAAUCACUUGUCCCCUAAAUCGGGACUAGAAUGAAUGGCUAAAUGAGGACUAAACUGUCUCUUACAGACUGGCCAAUGAAAUUGAUUUCCCAGUACAAAAGCUGGAAUAUACCCAUAAGACGAGAAGACCCUGUGGAGCUUCAAAACCAAACCACUUAGUAUGUCCCUUGGUUUUUUAGUUGGGGCGACUUCGGAAUACAAUAAAACUUCCAAAAUAAAACUAACUCAUUAAGGUUAACACACCAAAAUCUCCACACAGACCCAGCAAUUAAUUUGUCUGACCAAUGAACCAAGUUACCCCAGGGAUAACAGCGCAAUCUCCUUUUAGAGUCCAUAUCGACAAGGGG
rnacentral:rRNA from 1 species